CUACCUGUCUUGACAUUUUUUUCAUCAAUUCAUUUAAAAGGAAAGUUUAUUACAUGAUCUUUGUGCUGCAGUGUUAAAAGCAAAUUGUGAUAAUUCCCCAUUAUUAAGGAAUUAUUAUUAAUAAAUACUGCAAUGCAUUGCUAUAAAACAUUGAAGCAUAUAAUUUUCUUCUCUGCAUUAAGCUUCAUUAUAUAAAAAAUGUGAAGCUUCACUAUUAUUUGGUGGUUGUAUUUAUGAACAUUCUUUCAAAGGCAGAACAGUGUGUUAGGGAAAUGUAGCCUCUGAAGUUACAGAAACCAUUUAUUAGCUAUUCCACCUUAGGGGAUCUCAUUUUUUAAGUCUGUAAAAUGAGGCUUUUUGUGUGGGGGGGAGUGAGUUCAUGUAGUUGCAAUGAUGAAAGGAGCUGAAAGACUUUUUUCCCUAAAAAUUUUGAUGGAUCAUUAAUUGACCAACUGAUUCAAAAAUCUUGAGCACCCACAAUAACCCAUGCAGGCAUGUGUGUGUGGGGGGCAUUCCUCUGUUUUGGGUGUUUAAAGUGUGUUUAGUUUUCGUGAUUGUGUGUACAAUAACCUUUUGAUAUAGAACUCCUCUUAAAUCUGAUUAUUUCAGUAGAGAAGAUUCCUGGAAGUAAAAUUACCAGGUCAAAGUGUAUGGACUUAAAUGUUCUAUGCAUGUAUUUCAUAAAUGUUGCUUUCCUGAAAGAUAACCCAAUUUUCCUUCCUAACUAGGAGUUUGAGAACAGCCAUCUCUCCAUCUCUUACCAGUACUUAACAGCAGUAUCUCAUUGUUGUCCAAAUUGCACACCUGUGGUUAAUUAUUAAGGCUAAACAUUUUCUAAUGAAUUUAUUAACUUGUUCCAAUAUCCUGAGAAUUAUGUAAUUGUAUAUGCCUUUCUUUAGAUGUUAACUGUUUGUCUUGUCAAUUUAUAGCAACUGUUUACAUAUUGCAAGUAUUAAACCUUUAUAAUAUUGUUCGCAAGUGCAUUUCCUAUUUAUCAUUUUAGAUUAAUUUUUUAACACCAUUAUCUGGUAGACAGAUGUGCACAUUUUUUUUGUGCACAAAUACAAAUAUUAAAUAUGAGUAGUGGAUGUGUAGGCAUUUAUUAUAUAUUUUUUCUCCUUAAGGUGAUUCUUAGAUAAGACAAAUUUAAAGUCAUACUUGCUCACUAAAGAUUUCUUUCAUUUUAUUUAUACUUAGAAAGCCCUUCCAUUUUUUCCUAGCAUGAUUUCAUGAGAAUUCAUUUCUUCUCCCUUGGUGUUUUUCAUGUAGUGCUGUAAUUGUUAACUUGUCUAUUUUCUUGUCUAGUAAGACUGUGAACUACAACUUUGUCUCUGAGUCUACCAUGUCUAGCUGCUCUCAUUAAAUGUUGAGUAAAAGAAAGAACAGUAAGGACUCUAAGAAAGAUAUGCAAGGUUGCAGUCUGAGUGGGGGCCACAGUCUUGUUCCAAGGCUUUGGGAAUGACAGAUCUUCAAAAGAGGGAGCUCUGGGCAGAAAUGACUUCACACACAUUUUAUGGUGUGGACUCGCUGAAUUAUUCAGAAUAUUUGACACCCCACCAUGAAUCCAUGUCAGUCUCCUCCCAAACAUACUCCUCCUCCCAGGACGUUUAAACAGCACAUGCACCUUUGUUAACGAUGCUGGAUAGAUCAAGAGUUAGGAAGAGACAUACCACACCAGACCCUCCUGUGACCAACAGCAUUGAAGGACAAGAGCUAAGCUUAUGGUGUGACAUCAUAUUUUGCAUCAAAAAAGGCUUUGAAGUUAGUCUUGUCUUCUAAAAAGAAAGCAGACUUCUUAAGAGACUCGACCGACUGUGUUAUUUGCACCUUAUUUCCUGCAAUGCCCAGAAAAUUGCUGAAUAUCUAUUAGAUGCUCCAUGAAUAUCAAGGGAUUCUAAUUUAUUUUUCUUCAGCAGAUGCUAUUUUAGAAUUUUAGGUACAACAGGAGGAAUUUUUUUUUUCUUCUCGGUUUUCCAGGAUUUUUGUUUUUAACCACCUUUCUUACUUUUCUUUUUCUUUUUUUUUAUAUAUAUUCAGGGCUGAGAAUAAGUAUUCUAAAUAUAAUGCUAAGUCAAUUGAAUACACAGGCUAUUUUUUCAAACUCUCAUUUUGGAUUCUUGUUUCAGCUCAUGGUUUCCUUGUUAUUUUAUGUCACAGUUAGCUAAGAGUUGGUUAGACGAUUCUUGUCUCAUCUAAAUUCAGCCCCAUUUUCCUUUAAAUCUGUGAAGGGACUUGUUAGAUAAGGACCAAUCUUGCUAUCUUCUGCUCCAGGCUGGAGGCAGAGAGUAGAGCAUCCACAAAAGACCAGGAAGAAAAUGAGAUGACUGAGCAUGAGUGAAGCAACUUGGCGAAGAGUCCAAUAGAAGGGAUGCUCUGGGGUCUGAGAGUGUGGAGUUGCCAUCGCUAAGAGGGCAGAGUGACAUGGAUCAGAAGUGCUGGGCAACACAAGUCAUUGUUUGAGAGGCAACUUCUACUGAGAUCAACCCCUGGCUAUGCUGGCUGCUUAUACGAUGAAGAAAAGGAAAGGUAAAAAUAACGUGCUUGAAGGCGAGCUUCCCCAAUGGGACCUGCUGGUACUACGUCUUCACAUCCUCUUUGCCACUUCUAACCACUGGUGUUUUUUGACUCUUCUGUUUUCAGCCUUAGGUAUACCCUUCCAUAAUUUUGCUAGAAUUUUUUUUUCUCCAGUUUUUAAAAAAUUGUGUUGAAACACACAUAACAGAAAAUUUAUCACAUUAAUUUUUGUAAAGUGCUCAGUUCCAUGGUAUUAAGUACAUUCAUGGUUUUGCUGAAUUUUCAGCACUAAAGAUAUUUCUUCAGGAUUUCCUGCCUCAGGCCCAUGAGGCCACUGGAAGGCAAAGAAGCUGGCACACGGGAUUGUGUGCUUUAGCCUGAAAAUUUUUUGUGCAUCUUAAAAAUUCGGACUAACUCCAUUUGGAUUUUCUUUUUAAAGAGUCUUAAUUGUUUUUGUUGCUGCUGGUAGUGGUUUAAAUGUGAGACUGAAAAAUAAAACCUGGCUUUGUUGUCAAAGGGGAUAUUAAAGGAACUUCACUGGUGUGAUCUAAAAAUCUUUGGACCCUUAGGAAUCGAACAUUCAUCCCACACCAGAGCCGGCUUUCUAAAGUGGUGCUCAUUCCUGUGUUGGGAAUUUCCAAUCUUCUGACGUGUCUCCUAAAGGCAGUGCAUGCCAUCAUGGUGUCCAGUGUGUCUUCCGCGGUGGUCCCAGGGACCCGUUGCAGGCUUCCAGGAAAGCCGUUUUCCCGUUCUGUGCCAUGGUUCAUCCUGCAGAUAAUGGCAGCAUCUUGAAUAUCACGGAGGAGCCAAAGGAGUGAUGAGAUCUGUUUUCUGAUCUUCACGCCAGAGCCAGAUGUCCUGAUUAAGGAGCAAAUGAAGUUUGGGAAAGAGCCAACUGAUAGAAGAUGCUUCUGUUGGACCAGGAGACUUCAAAAAAAAAAAAAAUUAAUCCAAUUUUAUGUAAGUGAUUUCCUCUCCACCUGGUACGGCAGGAAAUAUAAUCUCCCGGGAAGGACGGAGUUGAAGAUUUUCCAGUUGCCACUUUUUCCUGUGCUAGAGACAAUUUUACUUCAAAGGCAUAGACUAGGGGGAAGGUCAAUGGAUUUGACUAGCUGGUGUCCUGCACCCUUUCUGAGGAACACCUGUAGGGGGCAGCCCUUCGGGCAAAGAAAGCUUUCCCUGGGCCCUGUCUGCUGGGCUGGAGGGCCCUGUGCUAGCGGCAGGGGUGGGGAGCAUGCCACUGCUCCCCUGGCUGAAUCUAGCACAAAACAGGAUUUGCCAAGCUGUGCUGAAUGACAUUCCAAUGGAAAAUGGAAGAUUCCGGAGUUCCCGUCGUGGUGCAGUGGUUAAUGAAUCCGACUAGGAACCAUGAGGUUGCGGGUUCGAUCCCUGCCCUUGCUCAGUGGGUUAACGAUCCGGCGUUGCCGUGAGCUGUGGUGUAGGUUGCAGACGUGGCUCGGAUCCCGCAUUGCUGUGGCUCUGGCGUAGGCCGGUGGCUACAGCUCCGAUUCAACCCCUAGCCUGGGAACCUCCAUAUGCCGCAGGAGCGGCCCAAGAAAUAGCAACAACAACAACAACAACAACAAAACAACAACAACAACAACAACAACAAAAAAAAAAAAAAAAAAAAAAAAAAAAUGGAAGAUUCCUGGAAGCAGCAAACCGACACCCCCCCCCCCCCACCAAGUUAUUCUUGCUUUUAAUCCUCCUCCUAAUGUGUGUCUUUCUGGGUGGAAGGGUCUAAGUAGAGACCCUCCCACAAUCAGCACCUCCUCUAAGGGGUUCCCUCUGACUGUGCCAUGUCCCAAAUAUUUGUGGGAGUUCCAAUUAAAAGGAGAAACAUUCUCUAUCUCCCCCAGCUCCUGGCAGUACAGUGAGCUCUUACCUUCCAGCCUGGAAUCAGGAAAAUGCUACUUUGAGGAGAAAAAGUGCUUAUUUUUAUUGGGCAGGACUUGAACUGCAUUUUAGUUUUUCCUUUUUAAGCCUAAUCACUUCACAGUGACUGAUGAUGCCUGAAGCCACGGGUCCUGCUUCCUGCAGUGAAAUGCGGAACUCUCCUUGCAGGUCUGGGCUUGCAGAAGGGUGUGCCCCACACUCCAGGCAGAGUUGCCCGUACUGUACAGACAGUUGGGUCUUUGUUCAGAAAGGCUGACUCUCUGGAGGUAAUGCUGCAGAAUGGGACCGGGUCCCCUGCCGUGAGGGAAGGCCUUGCUCCUGUUACGGAAGGGACGGGAAAUCCUUUUACCUCUUAAGGUUCCAGAACAAGAAGUGGCUGGGCCAGCUGGAGCCUAAUCUCCUCCCCUCCUCUGUUGGUGGGAGUUAAGAACAAUGAGGAGGGUGUCUUUGAAAACAGGUGGGAUUACCAAAGGAUUACACCAGCAGGAUAGGUAAAACAGAGGGUCAGCGCCCUGCUGGACCUCUUGGCCAAGCUGGGGACCUCAUUCCCAGGCGAGCAGCCUCCCCCGACCGAUUCUUAGCCUCUCUUCUCUGAGGACCCAGCAGGGGAACAACAGGGCUGGUUUGCAGCCCCUGUUGUUAAUUUUGAGAAUUCUAUUUGGAAAAAGCAUGGAUGAUCCUUGUUUAGGGAAAAUAAAACUAAAUAGUUUUUUUUAUGAAUUUUGGAAGCCUAAUAUUUUGUCAUGUCCAUCCCCUCCACCUCAUGCCAACCCUUUAUAUUUUUGCUCUAACAAGGAUGAUUUGGUGGAAUGGAAUAGAAAACAAACCCUAAGUUGCCCUUUUCUGGAGGUCUGCGCAAACUCCCAUGGGCCCUUCCCUCAAUAAAGAGAUGUCUAGGGGAGCUCAACUUGCCAUUCAGCAGGGCUGAUGGCAUGGGUCAAAGACCAAUGCAGGAGAGACAAGGUGAGGCAGGGGUCACAGGAGCUCUGAAGGCAAAGGGAGGGGCCCAGAGUGAGCACGUGUGCACAUGGGAAGCCUCCCCCGCUCUGAACACUAGUUAUACUAGGUUUCAGUUUCCCCCGGAACUAAAACUUACCCCACUUACAGGGAAAUAGGAAGAACAAUGCAUGAUGGCAGCAAGGGAGCUGGAAAGCACUACUGCAUAGUUAUCUCCUAUUAGAAAAGUCAGAUGUAAGAAGACAAAACCAACUCCCCCCCACCCCCCCAAAAGCUCAUACUGGCCCCUCCUGAGCCAAGCUAUUCUUAGGUUACCUUGAGGAAAUAGGCUCUUAUUUUGCAGAACUAUCUUAGCAUCAUCCGUGUUUUCAAUUACAAGUAAUUUUGGGCAGUGUUCCCAAAGGGCUGGAGCCGGGAGGGCUGAUCUUUAUGUUCAAAGGCUGAGCACCUGCCUGAGAAAUCUGGGAGCACAGGUUUUCUUCCCACGAUGCCUUCUUCAUGCAAAUUAAUCUAUUAGCUGGUAUGUGUGUCAGUUUAUUUAGGAGCAUGUGUGCUGACAAUUGGUUUCUGACUGUAAAAUAUGGUCUUGAGGGAAGAAAUGAUUAAUUGCCUGCUUUAAAGCAUGUAUAUGUGUGUCAGGGUGUGUGUUUAAUGACAGUUGUUAUUAGUACGUGUGUGUCUACAAAACUUAAAGGUAAACUAAAGGCAAAUGACCACUGAAAAAUUGGAAGAUGUGAAUAAACAGAAAGGCUCUGGGCUUGUCUGGACCUUUGUGCCCUCGAAGGAAUAUCAUUUCUCGCCAAGGGCACCAUUUCCAAACAGAAAGUAGGAGACCAUUCAUGACAGAAAAAAAAAAAAAUCCAUCUCUUGUGUAAUCCAUAGGGUGACGUAUGCCUUCUUAAAAACAGUAGAGGCUGCAAACAUCUCAAGUAGGUCUAUCUUAUAACAAACAUCUUUUUGUCUCUGCCUGUGUUUUUACUUUUAAAAUGCUGUAAAGGUCUACAAAAAUGUAAUAAGGUCUUCAUCUGAUGUGGUCAGAAUGCAGAGACCACCUGGUCCCUUGUAGAAAUCUGCAAUAACAGACCGGCUAACAUCAUUUUCAAAAAAGAAAAUUCAGGCCAUUUACAGUUAUGAAUUCUUGAUUUUCCCCAAUAAGGAUCCUGACGUAAAGGAAGCAAAAUGACCACUGUUUCAUUACAGAAAGGACAUUUUAACAUACAAGGCAGGCGGCAUAUGAUCUUGGAAGGGUAGUGCUUUAAGUUGAAGAAACGUGUUGGAAGGUUUACUGCUCUGUCUGCCUUUAUCUUUCUCAUUUUGCUGCGAAAAGUGUGUGGGAGCCCCUCCUUUUCAUAACUGAGUUGGAUGCAGCACCUUGAGAGCUUCUGACCUAGGCAUUGACACUGUGUAAGAAAUAUGACAACAACGUUGCCCAGAGUCAAUGAAAGGGCAGGGAAAUGGGUGGGGUUUGGAGGAAGGUGGUCCAGGAUGGGGUAGGACAGCCCUUAUGAAGGGCUGAGGUUUCCUGCUCAGUGUGUAGACACAUUACUUCAUUCAAUUGCAAUCUUGUUUCUAGAGGCUUGUUUCAAGUUAUGCAUGUUCCCAGGCUGUCUGCCCUGAGGUUCUGGGGCUAGUACCUUUUUAUUUUUUUAAAUGAUUUUUAUUUUUUCCAUUAUAGUUGGUUUAUAGUGUUCUGUCAAUUUUCUACUGCACAGCAAAGUGACCCAGUCACACAUACAUGUAUACAUUUGUUCUCACAUUAUCCUCCAUCAUGCUCCAUCACAAGUGACCAGAUAUAGUUCCCAGUGCUCAACAGCAGGAUCUCAUUGCUUAUCCAUUCCAGAUGCGAUAGUUUGCGUCUAUUAGCCCCAUGGGGCUAGCACUUUUAUAAAGGUGGCAGGGGAUAGCUGGUGGAAGAACGCUGAGACACAGAGGGGGGAUGGAAAGCUGCAAAGGUGGGGGCAUCGACUCUAGAUUUAAAAUAAGAGAAGGCAGUGAUGCAAAAGGCAGGAAGGUAAAAGCCCUUGGGUGCCCAGAAGGGUAAGCAGAUUGGGUGUGAGAUGCAGCCAGGAUCGACUAUAGCUAUAGAUGAGGUGACAGGAAAUCAUCUAGCUUCAGUAAAGCAGAUUCAGGGGUCAGGUAAAAUCAGCUUGCAGAAGGUGCUGCCUGGGUUUUGAGACUAGUUGAGAAAGGGAAGCAGAGUUGUAGGAGAGCCCUCCUAGGAGGUAGCAGAGUGAUGGAAAGAAAAUAUUAACUUUUUUUUUAAACGGAAAGAUGAACAUACUUUCAAUCACUCAACAAACAUUUACUGGGUGUCUACUAAGUACUGAGGAUUGUGGUAAGUGCUGAGGGAUUUAAAGAUAAAAGGAACAGGUCCUGCUCGUAAAAUAUUCUCAGUCUGAGAACUUUUGGAGGGAGCCAGAGUGGUGGGGAGAUAUUGGUAAGGUUUUGGUAUUAAGGGCUCUGCUCUCCAGGAGGGAAAGGCUGGGGCUCUUGCUGCACAGAGCAAGAGCAGCACCUUUAUUGAGGAGGGCCACUGGUUGGGAACAGCAUUAUAGGGGUCAUUGCUGAGCUGGGCUUUGAAGGAUGAUUAGGAGUUCUCCAGGCAAAGAAUGGAGGAGUGGCCAUGCAGGCAGAGAAAUCAGUGGGUGCAAAGGAAUGGAGGGAUCUUAGUGAGUUGUACAGCUGGAGUGGAGAGCACAGUGAGGCAGGAGAUGGCUUAUGAGUUUCAUACUAUGGUGGGGACUUGGGGUUUUAGUGUGCGAGUCCAUCAGGCGAAGGCAGCCAACUGGACAAAGCUGAGGGGAUGACACCUGAUGGAGAAGGGGAACAGCAAUUUUGAGGUGGGGAGGAGGAACAUCCAGGGAGCUGGUGGUGGCUGGCCUGGAUCUCCCCCUACCCUUCGACUCCAUGGCCAUCUGGCUGUGAGAAAGAGGCUGUGGAGGGGGAGGGCAUCUGGAGGAGCCACUCAGGGGAAUUCUAGAGAGAAAUGAAAGACCUGCCAUAUUGUCAUUAUUUGCUAUCCACAAAGACUCUCAUUAGAUAUGUAACUGAUUCUCACUGACACCAUAGCCCCUACAUCUGUUGUUCUGCUUUUAAAUGAAGUACGAUCUUCCUUUCUGAUAUCCAUUUUCUGUAAAGAUAUCAAGUACCAGAGGCAUGGCCAUUCUGAACAGGAGCCAAGGUAUAUUGAUUACAUAUUCUCUGUCCUCUUGUUGAAACUUGUUUAUAUUUCAGAAAGUCAAACAUCCACCAACAGGAAGGACUCCACAGAACACUGAUUACUACUAUUGGUGGGAGGUUUUCAGUGAAGAAACUCAGGACAAACACUUACUCAAUUGUAUUCCUAUUUCUUUUUAAAUCUUGAAAAGAAGAAUGACAUAGAAGAGAUAGCAUGAUUGGUGCAAAAAGUGCUGAGUCUGGAUUCCACAGGCUCAGGUUUUUGUUCGGGUUAUACCGUUAGUCAUCUGUGAGAAUUUGAGCAGAGUUUAUUCUUGGUGCCAAUUUGGAUUCAUUUUUUUCCUCCAUCACACCCCACAAUUAAAGAAAUAUAGUAAUAAAUACACUGCAAGACUCAAGACUUUCAAGUCAUGAUUUUAUAGAUACAAAUAAACAAUUUCAGGAAAUAGUUCUGCAUUCUAUUCCUUGGCCUAAUUUAUAAACUAAAAUUGACUUAAUGCAUGUUUUAUCAGCUCAUGAAAAGUCAUGUCUGCACUCAGGGGGCUUGCUAGUUGCUACCUAAGGGAAAAGGAGUAAUGGGACCAGCAUAUGAGAAAAAUCAGCCUUUGGAGAGUCAGAGAAUCAGAGUGACUCACUAUAGAAACACUGUGGAGAAACGGUAAUGGUAAAUCAGCACAGGCUUUGCAGAAGAUGCCUGCUGUUUGCUGAUAUCAUCCACAAUGAUUUUCACAUGUAGGUGAUUUGUGGCAGGUUUCCAAGUAAAAGAAAAUUUGUGCGUGUUCUUCCAUAAAAAAAGAUCAAGAAAAAAAGAAGGUGGUCUUUUCAGGAGGGUAAUAAUGACGUGAAAAAUCCUUUGCCUAAGUAAGUCAUUUUUAAAGGAAUUGAUUUCAUGGUGGACAGAAUGAUACUCCCUCCCCCAUGCCCAGGAUAACCAUAGCCUGGUCCCUGGGAACUGAACCUGUUGCUUGACAUGGCAAAGGGACUUAGCAGAGGUGAUUAUGUUAAAGGAUCUUGAGGUUGGAGAGCAUCCUUGAUUAUCCAAGUGACCUCAAUGUAAUUACAAGGUCCUUCCAGGAGGAAAGCAGGAAUGUGGGGUCAGCAAGGAGAUGGGACAGUGAAGCAGAGGCUGGAGUGAUGCCAUUGUUGAGAGGAGGCCCUGAGCCAGUGAAGAAGCACAUGGCCUUGAGAAACUGAAAAAGCCAAGACAUAGAUUCUCCACUGGCACUUGCAGCAGGAUUACAGCCUUGCCAGCACCUUGGUUGUAGCCCCUUAAAGCCCAUUUUUGGAUGUUUGCUCUCAGGUGCUCUAAGAUAAAUGAAGUUGGUAUUGUUUUAAGCCAGUAAGUUUAUGUUAACUUAUUACAGCAGCAAGAGGAAACUAAUACAAACUUGCUGAGUGGUCCUGGUCCUCUGGGUUGUCUGCUCCUCCUGGGUUACAGACCCCCCUCUCUGUGCCUUUAGUUCACCCUCAGUGUCUUUCAUAGCUCUGGCCACUCUUUUGUAAUUGCCUUGUCAUGAUUGGUCUCCUCAUUGGAUGUGUGCCUCUUGAGGGCGGGGAGUUAUCUUAGUCACAGCUGUGCCCCAGCUGUGGGGGCAGUGCCUAGUGUGGAUGAGUAAGCUGGUGAAAUCAGUGCCAAAUGGGGUAUUUGCAAACGGAUCAAGAGUGGCUCAAAAAGGAAGUCGGUAUGCCAUUUCUGGCUUGGUAAGAUCUGGGUGUCACCCUUUGAUGGUACAACUGAAGGUGAAAGUGGGUUGUGAACAGAUGUGAGAAGUGUGAUUUUAUCCCCAAACUCCUUGGUUCUGGCUACUUUCUUGCCUUAUACUGUGGUCUGCUGAAGUCUGGCAUGGGGCAGUUGGAUUGUGGGUGAUUGAACCCGACUGACCUAUUCAGGGAAGAUCUCUGCCAAGUCUUGUUCAACAUACAUGGCCCUGUGACCUGUGGGACGUGGUGUGUGAUCCCUCCAUGUGUUAAGUCCUCUUUCACCCUCUGUUCUGGGUCUCCUGUGGCUGCAGUCCUUCUGGAGACUCCACCUAACAUCUACUCUCGAGGCUUGGGCCGGGACACAGCCCGCAGAUGCUGCCUGACCUGUGGCACUAAGAGAGAAGUCUUUCCUGCUCUGGCACUGGUUGCACCUCUUUUGAGCCUUGGGCUGAACUCCCGUGAGAGCGGUCAUUUCCAUCACCAGGUUCUCCCUAGGGGUUUUGCUUCCCUUAUCUUCUCUGGACCUGGACAUUGCCUCUCAAGGCUGCACUGUAAAUCCCACACUUUUGGCAACUCUAGACCUGUAAUUCUUGUAUUCCUGUGCCCCAGGAUGCCAUGGAGGGCCUGUUCUUCUAUCCUUAGGAGUCCAGUUGUUCCUCCAUAUGGGAGCUACUAGCUCUGCUCCUCUCACAUCUUCUCCUCUCUAUCCUGGGUGAUGGUAUCAGAGAAGCUCUAUUCAGUUGGACUCCAGCAUUUUUCCCUUUGAGCACCAAACACCCAGGUGGCCCACCUUGAGAUGUCCUGCUCUACCCAGCCUGGCUGUCUUUUCACCUGCUACCUAAUUGCUGUUUGGGAGGUCAUGCCAUAUGUUUUUCAAAGAAGUUCUUAGGGAUUUUGAAGUUCAUGACAUUAAAAAGUAAGAACUUGGGACGUUUUGACCACAACUUCUGUCGCUCUGCUGGGUUAGCUGAUGGUGACCAGGAGCUUUGCACUUCUUCUCUUAGCAGGCUGAUGACAGCUCUUUCAAGGAUACACACUAGGUUCAAAGAAUGGUCUUCUUGGAUGGAGGGAGGCAUUUUGGUAAAAGCUAAUUAAAAUGACACAGAGGACAUGAACCCCUAAGGACUGAAAGCUGGGAACUGAACAGAUUUGUACCCCACAUUCAUGGCAGCAUUAUCCACGGCAGCCCAAGUGUGAAAGCAGCCCACAUAGUAAUAAGCUUCCAGACGCUGCUGUGGCUCCUGGUCUAUGGACCAACUGUACUUCAAACCAGAGAAAUUUCUUCCUUAACUGUACUGAGCUAUUGGCAAACAUGGCUCAAGAAAUUUAAAAUAAUUGAGUCUCAUUACAAAACACAGGAAACAAAAAUGUAGGCUUCCACUCAUCCUGAAAAUCAGGAAUGGAAGGAGGUAAAAACAUUCUGCUCUUGAAGUUUGGCUCUCCAACUUGACCCUCUUUGUGUGUGUGGGUGUAUAUGUGUAUUAUAUACAUAGGCAACUGAGGAAUUUCUAAGUCCACUGAUUGCUGAAUGGUUGUGGGUCAUUUCAGAAAAUCUGAGCCUAGACACAGGGGCAGGAAGGGUGGCAUGAAUACACAGAGUAAGAGCUUGUUUUUUAAACUUAGACAAGAGGUUGGCAAACUAUGGCCUCCAGGCCAAAUCUAUUGCCACCUGUGUUUGUGAAUAGAGCUUUGUUGAACACAGCUCCAUUCAUUUGCUUAUGUAUUGGCUGUGACUAUGUUUGCCCUACAAUGGCCUUGUAGUGUGUUAUAGAGACCCCAUGGCCAGAAAGCCCAAAAAUGUUUACUCUCUGGCUAUUUACAGAAAAAGUGGGCUGAUCCUUGCUUUAGACUACUGUGCAGAGUUUCUCAAGAAUUGAGAUCCUUCACAAAAGGAAUCUUAAUCAUCUUGUCUCAUUUUAAAGAUGAGGAAAUGGAUACCACAUUCUCCCAGCUAGCUUAAAUAUUUUUAAAAAGAUAUGACAAAACUGGAUGGAAUUUUUAAGAAAAAUCAUCAAUUAUUAGAUGUCCUUUGAAGAAAGCCAAACUGAUGACAGUUUGGAAAAUGAAAGGUGUGACAGUUAUAGCGAGAUUACUAGAAACUGAGCUCAACUGUUAUUCUCUAUUUCCACAUAGGGAAGGUUUUGCAAUUCUAAAUGGGUCAGAUGUUGGACUUAGGUUUCUAAGGGAGGUCAGGGCCUAGUGACCUUUAAAACAGGGUUGGGACAGCUGCUUCAAAUGACUUAGGUGUAGCUUGACAAGCUUUCAAGGCAUCACUCUAACUUGUCAUUCAUUUCCUCACCCCCAAAUAUCAGGAGGAAGGCAGGGACCCAUGGCAGGGUAGAGCAAUUUGGCAUGCUGUCCCUCGUGUGUCAAGACACACAAAGUAUUUCAUUCUCUAUACCCCUGGCCAGGCUGGAGAUCAUCUCGAGGCUAGUCAACUGCCAAACACUGGUUAGUCAUCUGGGUUGAAGGACCCCUUCAACUUUCUGAUUCUGAGAGCAGAGUGAUGGAGCUUUCAGCUUAGCCCCUUUAAAAAUAUUUUCAGUGGUAAUUGCAGGUGUAGAUUCACUACCUUUUUGAUUUGAGAACAGGAAAAAUGACAACAUUUCAAUUCUUCACGGUACAUGUCAUAGCCUAAUAUAGUUGUUGCUAAUUGAAGUCAGCUACACAAUUGUUGGGUAGAUUUUUUUUUUUAAAGGAAGUUCUUUCUUCGGGAUGCUCUAAGCUCUAGCAGACUCACCUCUCUCUAGGCUACAUAGAGAAUGCAUGGGUUAAUAUGAGCUCUGAAGAGGUAAGAGCUAUAUAUUAUUUAAUUCCUGUAUCUCAAGACCUAGAAGAGCUUUGCAACAUUUUGAGUGGGAUAAACAUGUAUGUCUUUUGCAGGGUUGGGGGCCUAGCAGAUAUGCAUUCCAUCUUCACAGUGAGCUACGUAGUAUGGACAGUGAAGUGGCAUAUGACAAGGAGAGGCUCUGAGAUACUGUGAUUCUGAGUCCAAGGCACUCCUGCUCUUCCAUCUGCAUGUCAAGGUCAUCCUAGUCUAGGUCCACUGACAGGUAGAUAUUGCUUAAUCAGGACGUAUCUGUCUGUUCACACUCAUGUCCUGAGAAUAACCCUGGAAUUUAUAUUGAGCCUUUCAUCUUUGAAUCAGUGCUCUCAUCUUUAUGACUCACUUGUGAGGUAUGAGACAGUUGUUUUAAUUACCUUUUUUCCCCAGGUAGAGGGAGAAAGUGAUGGAGAGAUAGGUUCGAGGACCUUCUCAGGAACUCUGAAGGAGUCAGGACCCAGGUGGGACUGGAGCUGGACAUUUUGUAACCCAAUAUUAAAGUGACAUUUAUUUUCUUUUUCCCAGGGCAACAUUGGGUAAAUGCAGCAUGUUUUUAUUUCCUUAGGACAGAGGUGCUUGCAGUGCUUCUCUUUUUUCCUAGCUUGUUUCAAAUAUGUUUAGAUUCAGAAAGAUGUGAAUCAAAGAAAUUGCAAAGCCUAUAUUUUCUAAAGUCUCUUCUAAAGUACUUCUAAGGCGUUUGGCCCAACUGCUGGAUUUAAUUUGAAGCUUAGAAGAUAAUCAUCAUCCUCACUCUUCCCCCUCAGCCUGGUUUUUCUUCCCAGCUGAUUUUUCCUUCAAGUAACUAUUAAAAUGUCUUUGUUACAACUUACAGGCUUAUGACGCCUGGUGAUUCCAAGCCAAAUCCAAGGCUUUAGGCAGAUUACCUUCCCUCUGAUCAUCACAGAGGCCUUAAAGAUGGACUCAGCAGUGAUGGUUGAAAACUCAAGACUUUAUAAUUACUUGGAGGACAAUGCAGAAUGGCAAUACAAUGGAAAAACUGGUCUCUAAACAACAAGACCUAUGGCGGUUGUACAGAGUGGGUGGAAUAAUCUAUAUUAGGUGAACGAAUAAUAGCAGCUUCCUGACCUGUCUCAUUAGCAUUUAUCAAGCUGUUAAUGGUCUCAGAACCCUUGGCAGUUAAUCCAUAAACCAUUCUUUGUCGUUAAAUAUUCUGAUCUGAGUUUUGCAGAAGAGACGUACCCAGGAGCUUUAUGACUGGACUCAAUGGACAAGACAGGAACCCACAGUUGACCUGGGUGGUCAGGAAAAGCCUGUUCCCUCAGGCAAGGGGCAUACAUUACUGCUGUUCCUCAGACUUUACUCUUUCAGACUACAAAUUAAAACAUAAUAAAAUUUAUUUUUACUUAUAUUUAAUGGAAACUAAAAGUGCAAUUAAUUUAAAUCAGAAUUAAUCCUUGCCUUUGGCCAGCCUUAUUUGGGAAGACCAAGCAGAAUGUCACUUACACUAGGUGACCAGGGGUAGAAGGUCUUUUCACCAUUCCCCUUUCACCUCACAGUUCUUAUGAUUCCUUUGACAUGUGAAUGCACUGGAUUGGGGUAGAAUCAGAAUCAAAAUGUAUCUUGUUGAAUUGCACAGAGUGGCAGUAAGACCUUGAAAAUAUAGGACACAACUUGCCAGAGCCAGAAAAUCUUGUCUAAUAGGGGUGGUUUCCUUCUUGUUGGCCAUUGUGCCAUGUUGUAGCUGUGAACUGUGGUAAAUGUUAUUUGAAGAUGAAGUCAAGUAUUUUCACCCUUGGCUCUUUCCCCUCAAAAAAAAAAAAAAAAUCCUGUUCAGUUAUAUUUUUACAUUGAUCAUGGUGAGUCAAACAGAUUUUGUACAAAGUAAGACAUGUAUGGAAUCAGAAUCUACUAGAUGCAAUAAGAUUAUAGGUGAGUAACAACAGAUAAUUGCUAAUAUUGGAAAAAAGAUUAAAAUUUGAAAGACUUUAUCCUACAUGUAUUUCUAUCUGAAGCUUCUUUGACACACUAUACUUUUAAAAACAAUGUUACCAAGAUAGUCUUAUAUGGUAUAAACCGAUCAUGGAGACAAUUCUGUAAAAAGAUGCUGACCUUAAGAAAUGAGAAGUUUCUUAUUUUCUGAGCCAGUUUUAAAAAUUUCCUUUACUUAGUAUCAAGGAAGAUAUAUCCACUGUUAAUGAUUCCUGACCAUACAAUGAAAACACUAAUACCAGCUAGUCCCUAAGUGUUGGCCACUGUUCCAAAAGCUUUAUUAUUUACUAGAGUCAAGCUUCACUAUAAUCCUAUGAAGAAGGUAGUGCUGGUAUUACUCUCAUUUUACAGAUGAGGAAACUGAAUCUCAGGCUUAAAAUCACAGGCUAGGUCAUACAACUAGGACAUAGUGAAGUCAAGAUUUGAACCUGGGUAAUCCAGCUCCAGUGUGCUGAUCAUUGUACAGUCACCUAGCAAACCCCUGGAAGGAGGCGGCAUUUAGUCUGGGGCUAAGAUGGGCAGUUUCGAAGACAUAUCAAACAGUAAGAGGAGGUUGUCAGGAAUUAACUCUUAGUGAAGAAAAUAAAAUGGAAUUGGCUUACCAAGAGUAUGAAGUAUUAUAGUAAGAAUAAUGACUACAGAGGUAACGCUUUGGCUUAAGUAUAUUAUGAGGUAUAAAUGAUUGGUUUCAGAUUCUGUCAUUAAAACUGUGCUUGACAAGGGGAAAGGGAAGAAGGAAGAGUAGAGACAGGAAGAAUGAUGAAGCCAGUGCAGUCAGUAUUUCCAGUCAUUUAAGAAUCUUUCCAUGACCUGUGCCUGCAGCUCUGCUUCGAUACACAGAAGAUCCGCCUAAGUCAAUGUUUCUGUCUUUAACCCAUUUGCACUGUAUACAUGUGCAGUAUUUGUGAAGUUGAUUUCAGAUUCUUGCAUACUAUAUAUCUGUUGUAAUAAUGAUAGCAUUUGAAAUGAAUGGUAAUCACUUAUUAAGAGCUCAUUUUGUUCAUCCUUUUAAAAAAAUGCAGAGAGAUUUUCAAAAGAAGAACCUACCCUGGAUAGAAUCUGAAACUGAGCCCCACUGAUGUCUUGCUGAUUAAGUCUUAUCUAUCAGAGCCAGGGAUGAAAGGCACAGAGACCAGUCUCCUUCCUGUUUGUUUAUUUCUUGGCUUUCUUGUCCUGUCUGUAGCUUUGCCCCCAGAGCUCCUCAACUAUAUUUAUUUUCCAUCUGCUUCCUGCUCUUUAGACAGUCUGAAGACAGCCUACUCACUGGUUGGCAGUCACAGAAGAGAAAAAUAUUGCAGGGUACGUAAAGCUCAAGGUAGCAGCAAGGAACAAAGGGCAGGAGUAAAGACCCUCACAUGGUGGACAGAUUCCAUUUCAGAUGGGGUUAAGGGUCUUUGGAAUCAGCCAGGGCUGUGCAUUAAGAGGAGUGUCUUGAUGAGGUCUAUUAUUUUACUCACUUCCCCAGAUAUUUACUGAAGUCUUCUUUCCAGUCAACUGUAGCAUCUGAACCGUCUCUGGGUUUUUAGUUUGGCCAGUGUUUACAGCUUUCUGGUUCUCAUAGCCCAGCAAAGAACUAAUUUAUGUGUGAGUAGAAAGAGGAGGCAGAUCACCACGAUGGCCAAUUUUUACAUUUUUCCAAGUAAGGACAUUAAAAACAAACUUAUUUCUUCUUACUAUUGUUUCAUACAUUGAAAGGACAAUGUAACCCUAGAGCGUAGGAAGCAGGACCCUCCAAAGUCCCACAGUCAACAACUAUAAAGCCGUAAGUGUGUUUAUAAAGAUAGAUUAAAAAUUAUUGAAUGCAGAGCAGUUAAGUGCACUUUUAGUUAAAUCAUAUCACCUUUCAGAUACAUGUUUUCCUUGUUUCAAGUUUGUUGAAGAUUUAUGUUCUUUGAUCUGAAGUGGAGCCCAAAUGUCCAGCUUAUGGGAACUGCAUUUAAAAAAUUAUCUUUUGUAUGGAAAAUCCAGUCUCUCAAGAUUUCCAUGAAAAUGGAAACAUCAUACCUGAACUUGCAAUCUCCAGUGUGAGCUGGUACUUGGGGGUGCCCCAGGCUAUAACAUCAUUUGGAACUAUGGUCACACUGGUAGUACGUAUACACUCAGCCUUUGUUGGGGGUGUGGGGGCUCAUUACUGAGAGGAGGAAAAUGGGUGGGAGAACUCAGUCUGGCUUUGAGUGAUUGGUGCUAUUGAAUGUGUCCCAACCUCAAAAACCCUAUUUGGCAGUACCCAAAUCCUGCAGUUAGUGCAUCUGUUCUCCUCUGAAGACAGUCGGGGAGACAUCUGUUGUUAUUUGAAUGUGCUGUUUGAGGACUGCACCAUCCCGCUCAUCGUGAUCAUUGCAGUUGUCUAUGAUUUCAUUGUCAGUGAUUUGAAGAGAUCAUGUAGUUAAUAGGUUGGCACCCAGGAAAAAUGUUCUGCUGGCCCACUUCUUGACAGACUCCAAAUUCUGAGUGUCCAAGAGAAGUUAAAAAACAAGAACCAUGCCCCCAGCCGCUUCUCCUGCCCUCUCUCUGGGUUGCAGGAGAGCAGGCAGUGACAAAUCAAGUGUCUGUCCAGUGGAAAGCAUGUGCGGGGAUGUAGGAAGCUCUCUCUACAAGAGGCAGGGUCAUCUAGUGAGGGCUGUAACUUGGGCUGACAAGACCAUCUGGGGGAGACUGAUCUGCAAUGGAUGGUGCAGUUUCCAUCUACUUCAGCCCUGGACCAGGAUUUGGGAAUCACAAACUUAGAUGUUUCUAUGAUUGAAUUAUGUCCCCUCAAAUUUUAUAUGUUAAAACUCCUAACCCCUAAUACCUCAGAAUAGGACUUCAUUUGGAAAUAGUCAUUGCAGAUGUAUCAGGUAAGAUGAGGUCAUGCCUUUGACCUUGUCUCCUGGGCCAUCAUGGCUAUGCUCUUCAUUCUCUACUACCUCUAGGUGCUUGGCUGACAUGGCUACAGGAUGCCUCAAGGACAAAGGGGUACUCGGAGAACUGCCAUGAGGAAUGAGCUCAUCUCCCCCUACUCUCCCUUAGGGUCUCCUGGCCCCAUAGCUGUGCCAAGCAGCACCUGUGAUUGGAGUAAGGUUACCCAGGCCACUUGGACUUGGAUGUCUCUUGGUAGAUUCCUGGGAGAAUAUUCCAGGUGUGACAUGGUUAAACAGAGUUAAGGUCUCAUGAGCUACACAGCAGAGAUAGGAAUGAGUGGGAAGAAAAAACUAGGCCUGGAGUUGCAUUUUUCUCUCAGGAAAGGGUGUCCUAGGGAAGCAUUGAUUGGAUAUGACCAAGAUGCAGAGCUUAUAAACGUCAAAGAGCUCAGAAAGCAUUUGUUGACCUACUGAAUGUGCUUGGGAGAGGGACUCAAGGGCACCUCAGGCAGAAGGGUUCCCUAAGCAGGUAUCUUCCAUCGUGUCCAGGCUUUUAGUUAUCCUUCUCAAUGCCUGCAGUGGAAGAGACAGUGAGUACAGAAGUGGGAGCAGACAGGGGAAGAUCAGGAGAAAGCUAAAUAACGCACUGUUGGACCAAGAUGCCACCUUUUUAAUUGUCCAGGCAUUCCUGAUGAUGUCCCGCCAUCUUCCUCUGAGGUUAGUCUCUUUAAUUAUUCAACACAGAAGCUUCGUCAACAUUUGGACUCCUUGGAGACAACCAGCAAUUAUCUCAAAUUUGGUUCCCACUGCCAUCCCUCCCCAACUUCAAAGGAAACUCAUUACCAGGCUCUGAAUUCUUCAAAUUACUUUCCCCAUCAUCUCAAAUGAUGUCUAUAAGUAGUUCAUAAUGAGGUCCAAUCUCAUCCUCUAGAUUUACUAGAGAAGCUCACAGAAGAUGAACUUGUGAUAAAAAUGAUUUUAAGUCAGGGUGAUUGCCUUCGGAUUAUUCUUUAUAAAGAUUUUAUUUCUAAAUAAAAUCUUGGUUUGCUAAAAUCUUAGAUUUUAUGUACAUAAACUUUCAAAAAUAGUGUAUAUAAACUUCUUCCCGACUUAUUUGCAAGUUAACAUCCAAAAGAAACCUCUUCUCAUAAUGAACUCUUAUAGCUUGCUGAUGAAUAAUUAAGAAACACAUAUUAAACAGGAAUGAAUCUGAUGAGCAUGUCUCCAAGGUGGCUGGUAAAUCUAGUUGCCUUUGUUUCUAGGAGACUGUAUUUCCUAUAAUAGAUCAAGAUGUGCUUGAGACUUUCAGACUGUGUUGAGUCACGCAGCCCAGUGUUGCUUUGCAGGUUUGUGCUUGACAUCAACAAAGGAAGUCAAACUGAAGAGGUAUGCACAAAUGGGUGCAAAAUUGUCAAGUUAUCCUAUUUCUUAAAAAUCAGGAUCCUUUUCAAUGAAUAUUUACAUUACUCUUUCUUCAAAUUUUUAGAUAAAGUAGGUAAGAUUUUUCUGGAUGUCGUCUUUAUGUUGAUCACAAAAGUCAAGUGCAUCAGGCAGAGAGGCUGCGCUCCUGAGAUCCUCAUUGGUCUCCAUCUCCUGUUUCGUGUUCUCAUGGUCACCUGCAUUCUUGGUCUCUCUCCUUUGGCAGUGGGGGUCCCCUUGGCAGCUAUUCACUGUGGCUUCCCAGGUUCCAAAGCUGGGGGAGAGGUGGGAGAGUAGAGAGAAGAGAAGUCUACCUUUCAGAAUUUCAAGGUCUAAGAGUUCCCUGGUGGCCUGUGGGUUAAAUAUCUGGCACUGUCAUUGCAGCAGAUUGGGUCACUGCUGUGACACAGGGUUGAUCCCUGGCCUGGGAACUUCUGCAUGCCAAGGGAGUGCAAAAAACAAAAAACAAACAAUAAAAACAAACCAAGGCCUGUAGGGAUACUUAUACCAAAACACAGGGAUAGGGCUCAUUGUGAUCCUCAGAAGUGGCUAUUGUAGGCUAGAGAAGAGGAAUCCGAUUUAUCCCGGUGGUAGGAAGGGCAAGGGGAGUAAACUCCAUCCAUAAGGCAGAGAAAUUUAACUCCCAACAGCAUGAUGCCUCUUAUGUGUGUGAAAAAGAUAGAGCUGGCCAAACAGUAGACAGAGAGAUGGAUCAGCAGAUGGAUGGAAUCAUAUACUCAGGUUUUUGUAGAUCUCAUCCACAGGGGACUCUUGGAUCUCACCAAUUCCCUUUUGCACACAGUGGAGCUCUCAUGUUCUGCUUCUUGUUCUAAUUCUCUAUUAGAGCCAGAAAAAUCAGUUGGAGAGACAAACGCCAAGAGAGUUUAUAUUUCUCACAACUGUGCAAGAACCAGGAUUUAGAAAAAAGUUUUAAGAUGAUGCUAUUCUACCCAUAAUAUCCUCGUGUAUUUCUCAGUGUGUCUUAUUACCUAUUUAGGAAUAGGCAGUAUUAAUCAACAUGCCAACUCUGCUUUGUAAGCACAUUAAUUUUUAACCCCCAACUCAUGGCUCAGGUAAGGAAUGUGGGUGUGCUUUAGAAACAUACAACACUCCCUGGGUGCAAGUCAGAAGACACCAAAAGAGGAGGAAGCGAGAUACAAAGGAGUAAAAAAGGCGAGUCUAGGGCUCCGGUCACUUCUUCCUGUUCUGAGUGUCAGUGUGGAGGCAGCCUGCUGUGGGGCCUGGGCAGCCCAGUCAAGAGGAGAAAUAGCACGAAAAGCUAAGUGAGGCCCAGACAGAUGGGUGUGAACUAGGAAGGAGAAGGAAGCAAAGAGAAAGAAAAGAGGAAUCUUGCUUGGCAGGUAACUCUAAAAACAGUUAAUUUGUUUCUCUGACUUGGAGUUUGUGCAUCAAACUGAGGAAGUCCCACUGUGCUUCUGGUCUGGCGGGGGUCCCCACUACAUCAUGGAUCCCUGCAAAGACUUAGGCAGAGGAGCCCGAGUUAGACACGAAGGCAAGAAGGAAGAGUAAGGGGUCUUUGCUUCAAGCCCAACAGUAUCCUCCUCACAAAUCCUAAGUAUUGCUCCUCCACAAAAACCAAACAGAGCAAGAGAAGGCUGCAUGUUUUCUGAGUGCUUUGCUGGGUGCAGACACAAAUGCACAAUUUCUUUUGCUUUUAGGGGGUUCCCUUGUGUUUGGACCCUAUUGAUUCCUGGCCUGACAGAAAACCCUCUGGCAAUCUGAAUUCAGAGCACAGCAUCACCUCCCUAAUUGGUCCUAAGAGUUGGAAAGAGCUGUUUGAAUCUCCAUAAGGGUCUGAAUAUCAGAAGAAAUGCGAUUUUACUACUUUAAAGCCUCCAUGGUAACUCAGUGAAUGGCUCCAAGAUGUUGCCAAUAGAGGGCCUACAGGGGCUUAGAAUUAUUAUUUUGUCAAAAACCAUUAGUAGGUAUUUGUAUGUAGGAGAUGAAAAGAAAUCUACAUGGCCAAAUUCUCUAAGAUUUAUUAGUAAAUGAGCAUAUCAGUUGAAUGGAGGGGAAUAAAUCCCACUAGAUGGCUGUAUACAGUUUGCUUCUCCAUGCACUUUGAAAAAAAUUCCUUCUCCCAAUGUUGACAACACUUCUGUUAUUUUUCUUAGCAAGCCUCACUGGGGAUCUUCAGGAUCUGCACACUGUUUUCUUUUUUUCAUGCAGGACCCAAAAAUCUUAGUCUCCAACUCCUCCACCCUUGACCCUCUACAGUCCCCUGUAUGAUUUUGUUCUGCUCUUUGCCAAUAGGGUUUGUGGAGUGGGACUUGGUUUUUACCUGUUGCUUAUGUUCUCUGAAGACUAAUAUGCAAUCAGCUGUCAUUUGUUUUGAAAGAGAUAAUGGAAAUGGGAGGAAAUCAUACAUGUUCAGAAAUAGAAAGUUAGGACUAAUAACUCCAAAUAUUCUUUUCUCAAAAGACUCUUAUAAGAGCCCUAAUACUAUCCCCUCUCUUCCUCCCUGGAGAAAUACUUAGGGUCCCAGGGGAGAGGCUGCCUCUCUUCUCCUGGCCGUGGAGUCUCGUUCUGCUCCUAGGGUCUCAGCAGUGCUCCAAGGGUGCAGGGGGUCUAAAGUGGACCAGGGAGAGGGCUCCCUCCCAGUAAUAUCACCCUGCGCUCAGUGUGAGGCCUGGGCUCCACGGAGCUGAGGCAUUUAUUCCAACAGCCAUCUCAGAAUUUGGUCUUAUUUGCUCUUCCUUACCUGGACCUGAUCACUGGGCCAGGGCUGGUGCAACAACCAGGAUGCUGCAACCUCAUGCCACCUCCUACUGCUCUCUUUGAGCCCUUGGGCUCUGUUACUGUCUUCUUCCCUAUUACAGGCUCCUUCCCAUCUUAGAUUAAGUGAGCUGCCUCCCAGAGCUCCUUGGACCUUCCCGAGAGUGGAAUUUUGCCUGGUAUUCUACUAGGCUGGGGCAUACCCAGGUUGUAUUCUCUCCAGACUUGGGAGCAACAUAGGGUAGUUUCUAGGAGGCAGCUCAGCCUACAGCCACCAGCCCAGACCUGAAGAGCUAAGCCGGCUGAGGAUGGUGAUGGAUCCCAGGCUGAAGCUACGCUCCCCCUGCACAGACUUGGUCUCUGGCAUCUUGUUCUAAAAUAGUAGUUUGAUGAUGUACCUGUAGGCUGUGCCCUCCUUUUAAUUACCGAGCACAGGGCUCACCAACACCUCCCCGCGGUAAGAGGUGUUAAGGAUGCUCUCCAUGAAGGCCUGCAGAGGUGGUUGUGUGUCUCCCAUGUCAGGGUCCCCUGAAGACUGCUGCCUGUUACCUUUGGUCUCUGCCCCAUCAUAGGCGCACCCCCUCCUUUGACCAUGACCUGACAAACCACACAAGCAUAAUCUAUCGAUGUCCGUUUAUCUUCCCACAGACUCAGAAUUUAGUUGGCUCUGAGUUAAUGAGGGUUUCAGGAUUUCAACCUUCACAUCAAGAUGGUGUGUGGCAAAUUGCAUGUGAUUUAGGAUGAAGUGGAUUUCAACUAUGUGACUAUAAAAAUACAAUCUAGGCCAUUCAUAGCUUUAAAAAAUUGAGGAAAUUUCUCCUAUGAAGCAAAAACAGCUUCAGAUGUCAUGAAUGUGUUAGACAUAGAUAAGAGCCCAUCUGAGAGGAGUAAAACAUUUACCCUGGCAGCCAUUAAGCAUGCAUUUGAUUUAAAAUCUGGAGUUAACUGUCAGUUUGCUUAUGAAGUUCCUUGCUUUGGCUUUCGGCUUCCCAGCUUCUCUUCUAUGACCUUUUUCUUUUGCUGUUUUUCUUCAAAACUCACCUAUCAUCUUUCCUAAGCCCACCCUGGUUUCGGUUUCCCCUUUCUUCAGAAGCCCUCAGAGAUCCAACAAGGUAGUCUGUCUGGUGCUUGGUGACGUGGAGGUUCCAUAAAGCAGACUAUACGAUUCAAGCCACAUUUCCAUCAUUUCAAGCCACAUUUGCAUCCUACCCAAAGUGAGUUGAUUUAUGAGUCACUGUUUGGUAAAUACUCAGAGUUAAAUGCAAGAUCCAGGUGCACAGUAUUGCUGCUUCACUUUGCCUUCUGUAAAAGACCUGAUUCCAUGACAAUAUUCACUAAGUAACUAGCAAAUAAAAUGAAACACACUUCUGUCUCUAUUUUAAUAAUGUACUAUUUAUGCAUUUUUUUUUGAGGGGAACAAAGAAUCAUUGUUGUUACGUUGCUCUGCCAAUAUUAGGCUGAUAUCUUAUUGCAGGCAGAAUAAGGAGAUAAAAUGGCAUGCCACAGAAAAACUGAUGAGGUUUCUUUUCAAAACAAAGGAGAACAAAGCAAGAACACAAACUAUGAAAAGCCAGGAAGUGGUUUGAUGGAAUGAAUACAAAUGUGAAUACAGGUCCCUUGAUUUUCUAUUUCUUCCACUGUUAUAAAAAUCAUACCCACAUGUCUAGAGGAAAAUUCACAUUAGUUUCUUGAUCUUAUUAAAAAAAAAAUCUCUUGUUGUUCUUCUUGGGAUGAUCCUGUCCCUUAUGAAAAACUGACCAAGAUGUUUAACAGAGCAGAACCAUUGCCAGUCAUUUCUAGAGAGGGUUGAGCUACCAAAUAUUUUCCUCAAAUCAUAGAAAAUUGCCACGUGUAGAGGCUACAUUAUAUGUAGCUUAAUUUAGGAUUAAGCAUCUGUAACUUAUUGUUGGGACAUCCGGAGAGUUUGUCAAACUCUAAUGUGAAUACCGUCUCUUCAGUCCCCUUGAUAUCACUCUGAAGAAAAGUUCUUCCAGUCCCAUUUGUGAUUUGAUGGUGGCCGAAAGAACCAGUCUAUAAUUUUAGAGUGAAAAAUUGAGGUCUUAUUUCAUGCAUUGUUGACAUGUUUUCACCCGAAUUUGCCACAGUUGACCAAGGAUUCAGACGGUGGUUACACUUUAGGCUAGUUCAUACACCAACCAGGAUCCAGUAGACCCGAGGAGUGACACGGCCUCAUAGUCCUCUGGCUUUGGUUCAAGACCAAGAUGCCGUAAUAACACAAACCUUGGAAGAAUUCAGGAAUGGCACUAAUUUCCCCUUUUAGGCUUCCCCAGUAACAUUCAAGUCGUGGAUGUUGUGACUUAUCUUUAAAAUGCUCAAAAAAGGACAUAGUGAUCUUUUAAUGAUGGAAUAUAACUGAGGGGUUGAAAAGCCAAGGGAAAUGUAACAGAGCUUGAAUCUUGUGCUUAGAAUCUUUAAGUCAGUUUCAGUUGGGUUUCUUAAAAUAAGAUCAGAGAGGGCUUCCUAACAGAGACAACAUGAAAUCUGAGCCUUGAAGAAUGAAGAUGAUACUGCAAUCAAGUUCAAGAGAAGAUAUUCUGGCAAAGGGCAUACUGUAGAUAAAGCAAAGAAGCAUGGUGUGCUUCUAGGGGUUGGUGGCCCUAGAGGUAUAGUCGAGGAUAGAAAAGUUCUGCAAGAUCUUUCUCCGAGUUAUUGGCAUUGACUUUAUUCCUCUUGGAAGGCCUUCUCUGACCUCUAACACUGGAGUAAGUGCCUUUUCCUUGUGCUUUCAGAACCUUGUG